UUACCAACUUCCUCUGAAGUGACAUGGAAGGUUUCUACUGAAGUUAUUAGUAACUUAAAACAAGGUCUGGUGUCUUUGUUCAAUGACAGUUUCAGCAAACAGCUCUUGGAGACUGCACAGGAUCGAUCGGAGUCGGAUAAGAACUUUGUGGAAG